AGCGAACAAUACAGUCAGGAUGGCUAAAGGUGACCCGAAGAAACCAAAGGGCAAGAUGUCUGCUUAUGCCUUCUUUGUGCAGACGUGCAGAGAAGAACAUAAGAAGAAAAACCCAGAGGUCCCUGUGAACUUUGCAGAAUUUUCCAAGAAGUGCUCUGAGAGGUGGAAGACGAUGUCCGGGAAAGAGAAAUCUAAAUUUGAUGAAAUGGCAAAGGCAGAUAAAGUGCGCUACGACCGGGAAAUGAAGGAUUAUGGACCAGCUAAGGGAGGCAAGAAGAAGAAGGAUCCUAAUGCUCCCAAAAGGCCACCGUCUGGAUUCUUCCUGUUCUGUUCAGAAUUCCGUCCCAAGAUCAAAUCCACAAACCCCGGCAUCUCUAUUGGAGACGUGGCAAAAAAGCUGCGUGAGAUGUGGAAUAAUUUAAAUGACAGUGAAAAGCAGCCUUACAUCACUAAGGCAGCAAAGCUGAAGGAGAAGUAUGAGAAGGAUGUUGCUGACUAUAAGUCAAAAGGAAAGUUUGAUGGUGCAAAGGGUCCUGCUAAAGUUGCCCGGAAAAAGGUGGAAGAAGAAGAUGAAGAAGAGGAGGAGGAGGAGGAGGAGGAGGAUGAAUAAAGAAACUGUUUAUCUGUCAAAAAAAAAAAAAA